AUCUAACUGAUAGGUCCCAAAUAGAACGGAACGCGCGUCCUAUAU
rfam:Schistosoma haematobium scaffold409_21, whole genome shotgun sequence.